rnacentral:rRNA from 1 species
AGUGAACGCUGGCGGUAGGCCUAACACAUGCAAGUCGAACGGCAGCACAGUAAGAGCUUGCUCUUACGGGUGGCGAGUGGCGGACGGGUGAGGAAUACAUCGGCAUCUACUUUUUCGUGGGGGAUAACGUAGGGAAACUUACGCUAAUACCGCAUACGACCUACGGGUGAAAGCAGGGGAUCUUCGGACUUUGCGCGAUUGAAUGAGCCGAUGUCGGAUUAGCUAGUUGGCGGGGUAAAGGCCCACCAAGGCGACGAUCCGUAGCUGGUCUGAGAGGAUGAUCAGCCACACUGGAACUGAGACACGGUCCAGACUCCUACGGGAGGCAGCAGUGGGGAAUAUUGGACAAUGGGCGCUAGCCUGAUCCAGCCAUACCGCGUGGGUGAAGAAGGCCUUCGGGUUGGAAAGCCCUUUUGUUGGGAAAGAAAAGCAGCAGGUUAAUACCCCGCUGUUCUGACGGUACCCAAAGAAGAAGCACCGGCUAACUUCGUGC